GGGGAGGUAGCUCAGAGGUAGAGUGCUUGCCUAACAUGCAUGAGCCCCUGGGUUCAGUCUCCAGCAUUCACA
rnacentral:tRNA from 1 species